CGCGAAUGGCUCAUUACAACAGCUAAAAUUUACUCGAUCUUGACACAAUCCUACUUGGAUAACUGUGGUAAUUCUAGAGCUAAUACAUGCAUUAAAGCUCUGACCUUCGGGGAAGAGUGCAUUUAUUAGAACAAAACCAAGCGGCUUCGGCUGUUUUCGGUUGACUCAUAGUAACUGAGCUGAUCGCAUGGUCUUGCACCGGCGACGUGUCGUUCAAGUAUCUGCCGUAUCAACUUUCGAUGGUGGUGUAUCUGACUACCAUGGUGAUCACGCGUAACGGAGAAUAAGGGUUCGACUCCGGAGAGUUCGCCUGAGAAAUCGCGAACACAUCUAAGGAAGGCAGCAGGCGCGAAAAUUACCCACUCUCAGCACGAGGAGGUAGUGACGAAAAAUAACGAGACCGUUCUCUUAUGAGGCCGGUCAUCGGAAUGGGUACAAUUUAAACCCUUUAACGAGUAUCUAUGAGAGGGCAAGUCUGGUGCCAGCAGCCGCGGUAAUUCCAGCU
rnacentral:rRNA from 1 species